rnacentral:snRNA from 1 species
GUGCUUGCUUCGGCAGCACAUAUACUAAAAUGGGAAAGAUACAGAGAUUAGCAUGGCCCCUGCGCAAGGAUGACACGCAAAUUCGUGAAGCGUUCCAUAAAAAA